UACGAAGGGUGCAAGCGUUACUCGGAAUUACUGGGCGUAAAGCGUGCGUAGGUGGUUUGUUAAGUCUGAUGUGAAAGCCCUGGGCUCAACCUGGGAAUUGCAUUGGAUACUGGCAGGCUAGAGUGCGGUAGAGGGUAGUGGAAUUCCCGGUGUAACAGUGAAAUGCGUAGAGAUCGGGAGGAACAUCCGUGGCGAAGGCGACUACCUGGACCAGCACUGACACUGAGGCACGAAAGCGUGGGGAGCAAACAGG
rnacentral:rRNA from 1 species